UACGAAGGGGGCUAGCGUUGCUCGGAAUUACUAGGCGUAAAGGGAGCGUAGGCGGAUAGUUUAGUCAGAGGUGAAAGCCUAGGGCUCAACCUUGGAAUUGCCUUUGAUACUGGCUAUCUUGAGUACGGAAGAGGUAUGUGGAACUCCGAGUGUAGAGGUGAAACUCGUAGAUAUUCGGAAGAACACCAGUGGCGAAGGCGACAUACUGGUCCGUUACUGACGCUGAGGCUCGAAAGCGUGGGGAGCAAACAGG
rnacentral:rRNA from 1 species